rnacentral:rRNA from 1 species
UACGUAGGGGGCAAGCGUUGUCCGGAUUUAUUGGGCGUAAAGAGCUCGUAGGCGGUGUGUCGCGUCGGCCGUGAAAACCUGCAGCUUAACUGUGGGCUUGCGGUCGAUACGGGCAUCACUGGAGUUCGGCAGGGGAGACUGGAAUUCCUGGUGUAGCGGUGAAAUGCGCAGAUAUCAGGAGGAACAGCCGGUGGCGAAGGCGGGUCUCUGGGCCGAUGACUGACGCUGAGGAGCGAAAGCGUGGGGAGCGAACAGG